AGUACCGAACAAGUGUGAAACAAACAAUCGAAUAUCUAGUCGAAGUACACUGCUCCGUCUCCAAACGAAAAAUACAUGGUCUUUUCGAAAAUCGAAUCUUAUAUAGUCCCCGGAUCCCUUACCGAUAAGGUGACCUUUAUUGUUCACGUUUAUUGCCCUCGGUACAGUCCUACUACGUCACGUUUUUGCGUGCGAAAUUCAGUAAUUCCCUUCCGGCUAAUAGCGGCAAGGGUGUAAAUACCUGGGCAAAUUUCUCGGCAGUCCGUUUGUCCCCGGCAAUUACAGCUUCCCCAUGCAUCGGACGCAGUUUACAGAAAACCUGUAUUGAGAACACUGGGCUGUUGCGGGACAGCGAUAAUUAUUCGCGUAUUUCGAUACAGAUCCAUUUAACGACGGAGGUAUGUUUUAUUAUCCUAUUCGGAGGAUUCCGUAACGCGGACGAGCAUUUUUACAGAGUUCCUUAUCGUUUAUCAUUAAUUAUGUCGACGCCGUUGAUUAGCCUAUGCGCGUGGAACACGUUUCUUGUACGUUCAUCGUUCGUCGAGCUAACAGGUUACAGUUAAGUUUUUAAUCGUCAUUGUUGCUCGAUCUCGACAUUACAAGAACAACCUUUCGCUUUGAGUAUUUUCGUGCAUGGGGACCAUUCAGAAGGGUUGAGGAUCGGAGGAACGAGGAUGGUGAAUCAGAUAUCCUCGGGAAACCCGAAGAAAGGAAGCGAGACAGUGAGGGGUACUUAGAAGGGGUACAAAUACGUACUGUAUAGUUAAUAUAAUAAUACUUUCACCGAAAUCUAAUUUAUUGUCGAAAUCUCGCUGAAAUCCCAUCAUGGUAACUCAAGCUCUGUCGACUUCUUCUUUGAAGCGAUCCUUCUUCAGUCGUUAAUUUUAGAUUUUUUCGAGACGAUGUACGAUUUACGGAUCGUAGCAACAAAGAUACACGUUCACAGACUAUCAUUCUAGAAAAUUACGUGCUAGGAGCAUCGUUCGUUACGUUAAAUAAGAGAAGUUCAUUUUACAAAGCUCGCCAGAGAAUCGCAAUUAAGCAUAGAAUUAGCUCGCUAUUAUCUAUCAUGCGCGUUAACUUUACAGAGAUUUCUACCAACGUUUAAUUGUCCGCAGCCGAACGAUCUAAAAUCGGCUUUCGUGAAUUCAACGAUUUCACGGCGUCUAUUUACAUCGCUGUAUGCCGAACCUAUCAGCGUAUUACAGAGUCGGAAUGUUUAUUUGCAUGUGUACUCCUCGGUGCGUUCGGUGCAUGUUUCGCAAUGCACUCGGCAGCACCAGUGAAACUUGCAUCUGCACUGCCACGUUCGCGUGAACUGGUGCGUGUUGUAUCCGCGGCCGCAACACAUCAGAUCGCAUCCGUCUGUUCCUGAAAAAUGUCAACAUUUUCAUAUGAACAUCAAUCGUGUCCAAUCGAUUUUUCGAGUAAUGCAUCGGCCGAAGAUUCGACAAAAAAGUUUCGAGAAAUGAGCAGAGUUGCUGAAUAAUGGAAGGAUUAUGGUGGACGAGUGAUUUCUAAAAAAUGUGUUUUGCUCAAUUGAAUUUCAUUUUCUAAGCCAACGAACCCUAUUGUAAAUAAUUGAUUCUUUCUAUUCGAACAAUGUUCUGAGAACCGCGAUUGACGGAACAUUCGUGUUUUUGCCUGUUUUGUAAGACGCGCGUCACAAGUAGACUGUAGAUUUUAUGCGUUUAUGACAAAAAUGAAAUGAUGAAAAUUGUAACAGAGAAAAGAUCAGAUGAAAUUCAGAAUGUUGACGUAUCAAUUUAGACUUAUUAAAAUCAUUUAAAAAAGAGAAUGAAUAUUAUACUUGGCUCAUUUGUCUUGCUAUCGAUGCAGACAAUUUUUAUUUUGCAUGAAGAUCCGCGGUCUAUGAAUUUAAUUCGCAUUUACGUUAUGCAUCUUGUAAAAUAAAAGGAAACGUUCGUAUCAGCUGAAUUAUUUUAUUCCGAAUACGUAGAUCUACCAGCGGGCUAACAACAGUUUCAGUUAAUUUUAUUUCAAACUGUCUAUGAAAAUAUGAAUCCGGCUAUAAAAUAUAACUUGUUGAUUUAAUCCUUUCAGGACGAAUGCCGACAUAUUGACGACGUCGGGAUUGCACAAUUUAUUUCCAAUGGUGUUGCAUGCAUGUUCAAUAAAUUUUCCCCAAUCGACGCUCAGAUUGUGCGCGUGAUUGUGCGUGAUUCCGAUUGUUACCAAGUUGCUCCACGUUUCAAGCAACUUAUUUUCAUUGUUAUCUGGUCGAUUGUGUCGGUUAAUGUCGUUGCGUGUGGUGCGUUUCCAGUCGGAACCGCGCGUUUGGCAUUCGGCUCGAUUUCAUUCGUUCUACCUUUGCUGGUCCGAUUGCAAUAUCUGCCCUGCGUUCCCAGGCUGCCUUGAGCCAAAUCCGGCUCGCAGUAAUUAGGGGAAGGUUGCAGAAAAACCAACUCGCUUCUCUUUGGAAUUCUUUUCUGUCCUAUGGCCGAUCCGCCGCUAGAUUUCGUCCGUUUCAACACCAGGUGCGGCCGUCUCGGUUUAAUUGCUUUCUUCGGGGGUUGCCGGUCGUGCCGGGACUUGCCGACGUCGUUCGGUUUCCCUUGGGUUUUCGCGUCGUUCCCCAGAAUCGGCGACAUUUCCGCAGACGUCAAGUGCAGCGUGUCUAGACUCUACAUUCGGAAAUAAAUAAAUAAAUGAUAAGUAAAUCGAAGACACGGGUAACCCCGAAUGUGGUCUUUCAACAUUGUUUCACAUUGUUAGUAUUGCAAAUACUACUACAAUAGUAUUCCAAAUAUGUACCACGUUUUGGUGGUAUCAGGAACAAUCGAAUAUCAACCACAACGGAUCUCAAAAAUAUUAAAGUAAUUUCGUUAAUAAGAUCGUAACCGGAAAGUUCGAUCUCGAUUUCUUUUCUAAAAAAUAUCAAAUGUGUUACUAAAUCUAGAGUUCUGGAUGGUCAAAAAUGUUAUUCUGGCGAGGGAAGAAUGUAAAUGUUAGCGAGAAAAAUGAAAUGAAUGUGUUGAUGAAUGAAA